GGGAUGCUCCGUGUCUCGGCGAGCGGCGCGGGGGGCGAGGCGGCCAGCGACGGGGCCGGGAAGGCAAGGGAAGGCAGGGAUAACAGCCAGGCAAGAGGUCACCUUCACAGUCUCUGGAACAGUUUCUGCAUCCCUCCUGCUACUUCUGGUGUGGUGGUGACAAGUCUGAAGCUAUCCUCAUCAACCAAGGAAUUGGAGAAGAAUGAGACUUUGAAGGGAUCCUGCAGCAGCCCCUUAAGAGUCCUUUGGAGUCAAGAAAAGGUCUUAUGAGGAUAUGGAGGUGUCCUACUCCUGUGCCACAUAAACAUAGAAUUCAAGGCUACCAACAAUACAGACGAAGAUGAAUACAAGAGAGGACUCCAUCUCUACUGCAUGGAACGCAGGAACUUGGAAA